rnacentral:rRNA from 1 species
GAGAGAGACAUGCGCGCAUAUCAAUAAGCGGAGGAAAAGAAACUAACAUAGGAUUCCCUCAGUAACGGCGAGUGAAGCGGGAAGAGCUCAAAUUUGAAAUCUUCAAGGUUCUACCUUGACGAAUUGUAGUUUAAAGAAGUGUUUUUCUGCUGAAGUUUUGGUGAAAAGUUCUUUGGAAUAGGACAUCAUAGAGGGUGAGAAUCCCGUAUUUGACCAUUAUUUUCAGCUUUGUGAUACACUUUCAAUGAGUCGGAUUGUUUGGGAAUGCAGUCCAAAAUGGGUGGUAAAUUUCAUCUAAAGCUAAAUAUUGGCGAGAGACCGAUAGCGAACAAGUAGCCGUGAGGGAAAGAUGAAAAGAACUUUGAAAAGAGAGUUAAACAGUACGUGAAAUUGUCAAAAGGGAGGCGUUUGACACCAGUGUUGUUUUCUCGAAAAUCAAUUAAAAAUGGCUCGAUUUUGUAUUGCUGAGACCUUAAAAGCUCACUGUACAUUUUUCGUGUCUUUUUUAAUGCACUUUUCGUUUAACAAGUCAACAUCAGUUUCUUUUGUUGUAAAAGGGUCAUUGGAAGGUGGCUUUCUCUUUCGGAGAAAGUGUUUAUAGCCUUUGGCCUCUGCAAUCGGAAGAGACUGAGGUCUGCAGCGUAGACUCUUCGGGGUUAGAUACAUUUGUGCUAAGUUAUAGCUUUUUAUAGACAACUUGUUGACUAUAAUUAGUCUUGUAGCUUACUCGCUUAUGCUAUUUUACCUACGCUUAGGAUGUUGAAGAUGUAGCACAUCAU